UUUUGUUUUAGCCAUUGUUCUGGUUGUGGU
rnacentral:piRNA from 1 species